rnacentral:rRNA from 1 species
UAGGGAAUCUUCCGCAAUGGGCGAAAGCCUGACGGAGCAACGCCGCGUGAGUGAAGAAGGAUUUCGGUUCGUAAAGCUCUGUUGUUAGGGAAGAAUGAUUGUGUAGUAACUAUACACAGUAGAGACGGUACCUAACCAGAAAGCCACGGCUAACUACGUGCCAGCAGCCGCGGUAAUACGUAGGUGGCAAGCGUUGUCCGGAAUUAUUGGGCGUAAAGCGCGCGCAGGUGGUUUAAUAAGUCUGAUGUGAAAGCCCACGGCUCAACCGUGGAGGGUCAUUGGAAACUGUUAAACUUGAGUGCAGGAGAGAAAAGUGGAAUUCCUAGUGUAGCGGUGAAAUGCGUAGAGAUUAGGAGGAACACCAGUGGCGAAGGCGGCUUUUUGGCCUGUAACUGACACUGAGGCGCGAAAGCGUGGGGAGCAAACAGGAUCAGAUACCCUGGUAGUCCACGCCGUAAACGAUGAGUGCUAAGUGUUGGUCUCAUAAGAGAUCAGUGCCGCAGCUAACGCAUUAAGCACUCCGCCUGGGGAGUACGACCGCAAGGUUG